rnacentral:misc_RNA from 1 species
AACCCUCAAAAACCCUCUUCUUUGAGGAUUUUUGGACUUGGAGGUUUGAUGCUCGCUUUCACGUUCGAAAGCAAGCUCCUCUCAAAAGAAUCAGUGGGGUCUGCUUUGCCGGUCCUCGACGUGAUAAAAUGUUUCUACGUUUCGGAUCUGGCAUCGUCCCCUUGGGGAUGCCCCUGCUCCUAACCGUCUCGGUCACCGCCAUCUUAACGGUUGGCGGGGAAGGCCGUGGACACCCACAAAAGAAAA